rnacentral:snRNA from 1 species
UUACUCUGGUUUCUCUUCAUAGCAGCACCAAGUCUUUAGCCUUUUACUAAAGACUUCCGUGAAGUGACUCCAGCAGAGUUUAGCCUAUUUUGGCAGGCUUGCUCUCUGGCAGAGCCG